UGGCGGCCUGGGCGGGAGCGCGCGGGCGGGGCCGGCCCCGCUGCCUGGAAUUAACCCCGCUGUGCUUGCUCGUCCCGCCUGCAGCCCUAGGCGGCGUCG
ensembl:miRNA